CUAAGAGAGAGGGCAAGCAGAUCUAACCAGGUUGAUCUAUAUAGAAAUAUAACAUAGAUUCAAUAUUUUCAUUGAGUCUUCUUAAUUUCAAUCCAGAGCUGUUUUUUUGGAGAUUCUAGAUGUUGUUGGCUGAAUGAUAGAAAACAUGUGCUCCAAAAACUGCCCCCGAAAGAACAAUAUGUAGAAAAUAUUGAAAUAGGUACAGACUGUAUACUUUGAAUGUUUUUAAUCCCAUUACCCAAUAUGUUGUAUUUUGGGGAAAGAUAAUUUUCUAAGAUUUUUAAAGCAUGGGAGCAUUUUGUUCCCUGUUCUGAGCACUCAUCAAUGUGUUGAGACUUGGCACUUCCUUCACCAUCCCUGGACGGUCGUCUGCAGGCAGGGAGGUUUUCUUGAAUCGCUGAGGAAAGUAUCAAUAAUGUUAAAAAAUCCCUCUUGCCUCUAACAACAUACAAUAAAAAUCACCAACUUCUUUUUUUUUUCUACUUUGUACCCACAUAGGAAAGUUGGUACAAGUUUAGAUGCACCAACAUAUGUUGCACGUUAAUGAACAAGGAGCCUGCAGCAUUUAAUUUUCUCCUCACAGCAGUCCUCCCUGUCUAUGUAUCAGUAUGGAAUUUUGUGAUGUAUAAUUUCAUUUCCUAUAUCACCUAAUUAACAUACCUUCUGUUUUAAAACCUGGAACAGCAGUGUCCUAAAGUUCUGUGUUCAAAUUGGUUAAUAUUAGUAUGCUACUUGCACUAAAUUUGUCUGUUUUUAUGUUAUAAAGGCAAGUGAACCCUAGAGCUAACAAGAAUCUGGUGAUGGUGCUAAAUCCAGCUUUUAUGAAGUACGUUCAUCAGAGCUGGCUGGAAUCAAAAGGAAAAUAUCCGUCAACUGGUUUUAUGACCUUGAUGGCCGCAAUUCACUUUUGUGAUGAGGUCCAUGUGUUCGGUUUUGGAGCAGACAGCAAUGGAAGCUGGAGCCACUACUGGGAAAAAAUGAAGGGUAAAAACUUUAAAACAGGACCUCAUCCUGGAAAACAGGAGUACACAAUCAUACACAAACUGGCUGCUGAAAAAACAAUCUACUUUUAUAACGGUGUUUGAUUAUUUUCUAAGUAUUAAAAUUUAGU